GAAAAGAAUGCUAAUACCGCAUGACAUAUCGGAACCACAUGGUUCUGAUAUCAAAGAUUUUAUCGCUUGAAGAUGGACUCGCGUCCGAUUAGUUAGUUGGUGAGGUAACGGCUCACCAAGACCGCGAUCGGUAGCCGGACUGAGAGGUUGAACGGCCACAUUGGGACUGAGACACGGCCCAGACUCCUACGGGAGGCAGCAGUGGGGGAUAUUGCGCAAUGGGGGCAACCCUGACGCAGCAACGCCGCGUGAAGGAUGAAGGUUUUCGGAUUGUAAACUUCUUUUAUUAAGGACGAAAAAUGACGGUACUUAAUGAAUAAGCUCCGGCUAACUACGUGCCAGCAGCCGCGGUAAUACGUAGGGAGCAAGCGUUGUCCGGAUUUACUGGGUGUAAAGGGUGCGUAGGCGGCUUUGCAAGUCAGAUGUGAAAUCUAUGGGCUCAACCCAUAAACUGCAUUUGAAACUGUAGAGCUUGAGUGAAGUAGAGGCAGGCGGAAUUCCCCGUGUAGCGGUGAAAUGCGUAGAGAUGGGGAGGAACACCAGUGGCGAAGGCGGCCUGCUGGGCUUUAACUGACGCUGAGGCACGAAAGCGUGGGUAGCAAACAGGAUUAGAUACCCUGGUAGUCCACGCUGUAAACGAUGAAUACGAGGUGUGGGGGGUCUGACCCCUUCCGUG
rnacentral:rRNA from 1 species